rnacentral:misc_RNA from 1 species
CAUUCUUCCCCAAUGGACCGUUUAUCUUAUUGGUGGUCACGAGUGACCACCGUGGCGCCUUGGUAACAGUUGAUAGCGACGUAUUAUAACAAGGCUUCGUUUAUUUCAACAAAACAUUCGCAUUCGUUGUUUCGUCGUAAGCAAAACGCGCAGAAUAUAUCGUUGAAACGUGUAGAAGAUAUUAGUAAACGGUAUUUGCUCAUUCCAUAUAUAAUAGUAAGAUUACCCGUCAAAGAUAUGGAUGCAAACACAGUGCACCGUUAGAU